GAGCGGUCGUAGCAAUACGGCAGCGGCAGACGGGAGAGUAACACGUGGGAACGUGCCCUUUGGUUCGGAACAACCCAGGGAAACUUGGGCUAAUACCGGAUACGCCCUAACGGGGUAAAGAUUUAUCGCCGAAGGAUCGGCCCGCGUCUGAUUAGCUAGUUGGUGGGGUAAUGGCCCACCAAGGCGACGAUCAGUAGCUGGUCUGAGAGGAUGAUCAGCCUCACUGGGACUGAGACACGGCCCAGACUCCUACGGGAGGCAGCAGUGGGGAAUAUUGGACAAUGGGCGCAAGCCUGAUCCAGCCAUGCCGCGUGGGUGAUGAAGGCCCUAGGGUUGUAAAGCCCUUUCGGCGGGGAAGAUAAUGACGGUACCCGCAGAAGAAGCCCCGGCUAACUUCGUGCCAGCAGCCGCGGUAAUAAU
rnacentral:rRNA from 1 species